rnacentral:lncRNA from 1 species
UUCUACCUAUAGGUCCCACACCCUCUGGGUCCCGGCUUCUCAAAUGUGGUAGAUUGGGUCACCUAAAAUUAUUUAGCACACUGGAUGCCAUUUUCUUUUCUAAGGAAAGUGGCUCCUUACUCAAAGUGAGCUUUGUCGGGCUGCUUCUGUGUGAUGACAGCACUUUGGGUGGUGGCCUUUAUGAGGAGGCGCUCCUUGUGUACACUGAUUUGAUCGUCUUAUCAAAAAGCUAAAAAUCUGUUAGGUCUUUGCCAAACUGAACAGUGUUAAAAUAACACCACCAGAUUUGCUUGGGGGGAUUCAAAUUUGGAAAGUUUGAAGAGAGCUCAUUGCAAUUAAUCUCACCUAGAUUCAAGUGAUAUUCCCAGUGUAGCCUCAGAAACAAGGAAAAGUCUUGAAGAGCUCAAAAAAGACCUGGAAAGACCUUGCACGGUCAAAGAGAAGGAUACACCCCAGUGGCUGGAUUAGCCUUAUAGGUAGCAGUUCUGUUCAUUUCAUUCUCAAACAUGUAUUGACUACUAGAUUCUCCAUAUGACGCAUUCACAAGUAUCCCGUGCGAAGUGAAUUCAAAUCCACAUCAGCUCCCCUCUUAUUAAAGUCCGGGUGUGAACGAGGUGAAUAAAAUGGGAAAAUUCUUCAAGGUUAAAGUCUGUCUCAUUAUCUCCUCAUCCAAAACUGGCCACAGUCAUAGGCAACAUUGCAUUUCCAUCCACAGAUCAACCUCCUGGAUGUGGGAAUUGCAGUGGUUAGCCUAUCACAGGCUUCAACAUCAUAAGUUUGUAAGAGGGCUGCCCUCAGAGCAUCCUAAAUUGACGUGUGCCUGUCCCAGUUGCAAAACCUGUAGAAAGGCAACAUUGCCAUCUCAGAGAUUUUUUUUUUUUUUUGAAACCUCUCACUGGGGAAAAAGAUGCAUCCCUGCAAUGAAUGACAACACAAGCCUCUUUCUCAUCCAUCCUUAGCUAUUUUAAAGAUUUCAUUUCUUGCUUAAAACACUGCAUUUUGUGCUAUUGGCCAAAUAUCAAAAGACAAGGGCACUGCCUUGAUCUGCCUGCAGCUUUAUUUUUUUGCCUGCCUGGUUCUGUCUGCCUUACUUGACUCUCCUGGGCACCAUCUGCUUCUUCUCUGCCUCCUGGAAAGGGGCUGUGCCUUCUUGCUCCCUGUACCUUUCCUUGCAGUGGCUGGCAGGACAUGGCUGGUAUAUACUGGAGCCAAAGGUCGGGAGUGCUAUUAAUGGCAGCUCCUGAGGGCAGCAGACGGACAACCGUAGGAGAUCCCCCUGCACAUGGUCAACACCUUGUGUCAAGGGCUAAAAAUAGACCAAAUUGGAAAUGAGCAGGCAGGUCCUAAGGGGAGCCUGCCUCAUCCCAUGCCCUGGCCUGCUUCAUCCCAUGCAGAACAAUAUGCAAGCCUAGCUAGGAGAUGCUUGCCCCUGCUAAUCCCUAACAUGAAUCACAAGACCCCACAAUGCAAACUGAACUCAGUCAGCUCACCCAUGCUCAUACAGGAAGGACUACUCCUAAAAUCCAUCCUUAAACCAAGGAGGACAAAAAAAAAUAAUAAUUUCCUUUGGGUAUAGUGCCAAUUGGCAACUCAGUGAACAUCUUUCUAGAAGUAGCCUUUGGCCAUAUGUCAUGGUGGAUAUAGACAACUGGCCACCUAUUAAAUGAACUCCCUUGGUCUGUUUCUCUAUACCCAACAUAGUUCUGGGGUCCUCAGGCUACAGUGGGGUUAGGAGAUUUGUUUUAGCUGUAGACCUCCUAGAAGCUUUUCUUUAGACCCAGAAAGAUCAGGAAAUAUCACAGGCUGAUUCAGGGUCCCCACUGUGAUCAUGGAUAACUCACUUCACCUCUCGGUGCCUUGGUUUCUCCAUCUGUAAAGUGGAGGGAGAGAAGGCCUACUUCUUCUUUCUCUCCUGCUCAGGGAUACUGUGAGGGUUCAGUCAUUAUUGCCUGUAGCGAAGGCAUCAUAUAAAGAAUAGUGGUGACCUCGUUACUUGGGAAGUAGAACCACCGAAGGAUACUAUGUUCUCCAGGUGUGGUGGCACCUGGAAGCCCACAGGAUGAGCAGUACAGCUGGAAGGGAGAAGUCUCACACACCUAUAGUUCUUAGAUACUUCACAGCACUGUGAACCCAGCACAACGGUACUCUGGUCAGGAGACCAGGGGUCACUUAGCUCAAGCCAGCCACUUGUAAUUCUAAACCAAAUGUCCUGAUAUUAAUUUUUCCUAAAGUAUCAGAGAAUAUAUGGAGGGAUCAAUUUGAAAACUGAUAUUCAUUGAGCUUUGGGCAGACAAGAGAAUGGGUGCAUGGGGAGCAUUUGGAUGGUUUUUAACGUGGGUGAAAGCUCUUUAGGAACUAUGCCUCACUUUUGUUCUUCCGCACAGUCUUUUUCAACUUUAAGGCUCACAUCAUCAAAUGGACUCAUUUCUUUGCCUCUUUGCAGAAUAAAGAAACAAAACUUUGUUUUUUUAAAAAAAAAAAUCCAUCAGCCAAAAUGUGGGUCCCAAUGGUGGGUUUUAAUCAUUCCCUGGUGUGCUUUGAGUGGAGCCUACAGGCAAAGAUUCAGAGACAAACAGGGGCUGGGGAAUAUCACUAUUGAUUUUUAUCCAAAUCAGGGUAUUUUUUUCCUCAACGUUUGAAUUGGAAAAUUUAGUUGAGUUUCUUUUUCUUUCCUUUUUUCUUUUUUUUUUUUUCUUUUUACUAUGGUUUAACUGUUAUCAAUUCAACUACCAAGAUACCCUUUGAGCAAGAAAACAGACCCAUGCUAAGAACCUUCAUGUUCUUCUUAGGACUAAACUAGAGUGAGGGCAGGUGGGAGCAGUGGAGAAUGACACUAGCACUCCAGGAGGACCAGCUACAACUUUGAUUUUCUAUUGGUCCUGAGAAUCUUCUUGGAGAGGAAAAUUCUAGAAGCUUUACAUGUUCUGGAUCAGUCAACCUGGCUCUGGCUCUGCCCUAUUCCUUGGGGUUCAGGUGUAUUUCAAUGUAAAAAUUCUAUCAAAAAAAAAAAAAAAAGGCACCUUCUGAGACUGUCCCAAAGGAACAGAUAGUUCACCCAGGCAAGUUCUAGUUGUUGCUGCAAAUCCUCCUGCUCUUUGGCUAUGGAUCCCUGACAAGAACUCCUUUCCCACCUGCUCUGACUCUGCUCUCCAAGACUAAUAUUAUUGUUUUGACAGCACAAGGGACCAGACCAUAGUUUGGAAUUCAAUAAUGACAUCUGUUUGAUUUUGUAUCUGACCAUUCUGUGGAUAGGCCAAAUCGUGCUGGAAUUAUUUGUUUCCACAAGGUAUUUCUGAUGGUUACCUGAAAGAAGGAAUAAACGAGAUCUCAGAUUGACUCCCUGUUCUCAUCGGCACUCCUCUUUUGACUGGGAUGGAUGGCAAAUGAAUUGUAUGGCAUUUAUGAAUGAGGACUUCGAAGAUGGACACGUGGAAGCACAGAGAACAAAAUGACUUGGUAGAUGGGUAGGAAGAAUGAUAAAGAAGAGGAAGGCUUCCAGAAGUAUGUGGAAAGAAAUUAUUUGCAACCAUCUAAUUGUUACUUCCUACACACUCUGGGGCGGAAAUAGCAAAGCAUAUUCUUUUCAGAGGAAAUCAAUUUUACUGAGUGAACUAUUUAAGCAUUAUUGUUUUACUAAACAGUCAGAGAAACCAUCUCAAGAAAAGAAAGUCACCUUCUCAUGAACAGAUCAUGUCACUAGAAGUAAAAAAAAAAAAAAAAAAAAA